GACAGAGGUGCCGAGCGUUAGGCGGAAUCACUGGGCUUAAAGCGUGCGUAGGUGGAUGUCUAAGUACCUUGUGAAAUCCCACGGCUUAACCGUGGAACGGCUCGGUAUACUGGAUGUCUUGAGCCAGCUAGGGGCUACCGGAACAAAUGGUGGAGCGGUGAAAUGCGUAGAUAUCAGGAGGAACACCGGUGGCGAAGGCGGGUCUCUGGGCCGAUACUGACGCUGAGGAGCGAAAGCGUGGGGAGCGAACAGG
rnacentral:rRNA from 1 species